UGCAAGUCGAGCGAGGGUUUGCUCAGUACUGAGUAUUCUAAGUCUAGAAUGUUCAAUUCUGAGCAAAACCAAGCGGCGGACGGGUGAGUAACGCGUGGGUAACCUGCCCUAUACACAUGGAUAACAUACUGAAAAGUUUACUAAUACAUGAUAAUAUAUAUUUGCGGCAUCGCAGAUAUAUCAAAGUGUUAGCGGUAUAGGAUGGACCCGCGUCUGAUUAGCUAGUUGGUGAGAUAACUGCCCACCAAGGCGACGAUCAGUAGCCGACCUGAGAGGGUGAUCGGCCACAUUGGAACUGAGACACGGUCCAAACUCCUACGGGAGGCAGCAGUGGGGAAUAUUGCACAAUGGGCGAAAGCCUGAUGCAGCAACGCCGCGUGAACGAUGAAGGUCUUCGGAUCGUAAAGUUCUGUUGCAGGGGAAGAUAAUGACGGUACCCUGUGAGGAAGCCCCGGCUAACUACGUGCCAGCAGCCGCGGUAAUACGUAGGGGGCUAGCGUUAUCCGGAUUUACUGGGCGUAAAGGGUGCGUAGGUGGUCCUUCAAGUCGGUGGUUAAAGGCUACGGCUCAACCGUAGUAAGCCGCCGAAACUGGAGGACUUGAGUGCAGGAGAGGAAAGUGGAAUUCCCAGUGUAGCGGUGAAAUGCGUAGAUAUUGGGAGGAACACCAGUAGCGAAGGCGGCUUUCUGGACUGCAACUGACACUGAGGCACGAAAGCGUGGGUAGCAAACAGG
rnacentral:rRNA from 1 species